AGCGGCGCCUCGGGGCGGGCGGCGUUGCCUCCAGAGCAGGGCUGCGGGAGCCCGGGGUGCCCGGCGAGCGGGAGGGGGCCCGAAGCUCGGCGCCUUAGGAAUAGUUUUACUUUUUUUCCACUAGAUGGCAGUAAAAUAAAGUCCCUGCGUUCCUCUGAACGCGGGGCUCGGCUUGCCGCGCGGAGAGCGGCGAUCCCUGGUAAAAGCGUGGCGUUAACGGAAGCCACGAAUAACGCACGGCACCGAGAGCGACUGAGGCCGAGACGGGCCGAGAGCCGCCCGUCGGGGCCGUUGGACGGCGCCCUGAGGGGGCGGUUGGCGCCCAGAGGGGGCGGUGACGUCACGGCCUUCACACAGCGCUCCGCGCAGCGCGGGGCUCUGAGAGAAAAACCGGCACAAAGGACGGGCGAAGCGAGCCGGCAGUGCUGUGAGAAUCUCCUCAGCAGGUCUGCAAUGAGGGGACACAGCCGCUGCAGGCAGCAGAUGUGAGCAGUGGCAGCCCAGAGGAUGGGGACAGCCAUGCUGUGCCUCCAGCAGUGCUCACUGCCUGGCCCAGGAAUCCAUUCACGUUCACCAGGAGGAUGGAAUAAAGUGGAAAAUAUGGCAAGAAGAAAUACAGUCUUAAUAGUUGACAGACAGAAGACCCCAACAGACAGCAGAGCAAACACCACCACUGCAGAGAACGAUCCCAUCCCCUGGCUUUACCCAGGGCUCCACCCAAAGUGACAGCAUCCCCAGACAAGGCUCCACACUGAGCUGCUGCGGCCAGGGAGAGGUUUUAUGGCUAAUUUGUGUUCUUCACGUCCAACUCAGCAGGCGACCAAAAUAUCCAAGCACAGCUACCUGCACGCUGCACAAUGCUCAUCUAUAACCACGGGCUGAAAUAAAAGCAGAAAACCCAACACGGUGCUGAAAAGACGAGUUUGGUGUCGAUCAGGGAGCACACGAGGCUUAUUGCAACGCCUGCACCUCUGGGGACACAGCAGAGCGCUGCUAACGCCCGGCUCUGCAACAGCACCGGGAUCAGAAACUGCAGCGCUGAGACCCACAGGGUUGUUAAGGUAAUGAAAUUAAUUAGUCUGCCAGACUUUGCAGGGUGGGAGCCUCAGUACCUGUGAGAGAAGGCACUGUCUGUCCAUCCAAGCAGCUCCAUGGCAGCACCUCGCAUGGAUGAGGGUGCAAAAGCCAUCAGCCCAGGUCAGGAUCCAGCCUUCACCGACUUGAAAUCCCUUCCAUUUUCUUCCUCUGUCCUCACAGGUAUAAUAAAUAACAAAGCUCUAAUAUUUUAACACUUUAAAAAGCAGGAGCAAUGAUUCAUACCUAUUCCAUAAUUAAAAUUUUAUGGCAAAUAGACACAGCCAUCACUCAUCCAGUCCGGUACGUCCAAAAAAAGUGAGAGUUCAAUUUAUAAACCUAUGCAGUAUUGUAUGAGCUUCCAAGGGAGUUACUGAGCUGAGGGGAAAGCUGUGUUUUUUGUUGUUUUGUUUUGUUUUUAAAAUCAAAUGCAGUGCAGCUUAUGAAUUUGUUUGCAACAUCACAGCAGCUCCAUACAGUGACUGAUGUUUAAAUUAGAAAAGGAAAAGAAAUAUUACCAAUAUUAUCCUCUUAUUCCAGUGCUACGCUACUGGUGUGAGGCAGUAUCCCCAGCACUUCCCAGUGCCAAGAAUAAAGAUUUUCUGAAAUUACAAAGUGCCAGAUAAAAUGAUGCACGACUGUGCCAGGGGUUUGAGAGAAAAUGAAAGCCUGCAAAUCAGUGCUCUUAACGUAUGCAUAUUCAGGGAUAUUUAACGUAAGGGCAUGAUGAUCUGGAUCCAAUUGCAAUAAAUUUUCUUAUAGUGACAAGAUGAAAUUCUCCUGCUGACACUGAAAAUACAGAAGGUGGUGGUCUUGCACGUGUACACGUGAACACACACGUACUUCCUGAAUUAGUAUUGAGAAGAUACCCUGGUCUUUGUGAGCUGCAAGAUCUGCCAUGGAACAGUGCCCAACUCCAGUCUGCACCAAUACAAGAAUGAGAGCAACCCUGCUUCAGAGCCAGGCAGCUCAGGUUGGCUAAAAACACAGGUAAAUUUGUUCCUGUACAACUGAUUUGCAAACAUUUUCCUCAGACUUUAAUAUGACAUUAUUUAGAAGCAUUUUAAAAUAACUGAAUGUGCUCCAGGACAAGUUCUUAAAGGAGCUCUGCUCUUAAUCUUAAACAUUCCACCUCAGCUGGGAAACAGCCUUCUGCUGGAGCACAGCACUGCUGCACACAGCACUCAUGUCUGCAGUGCAGUGCGUGCUCUGUGCCUCCCCAGGAAAGGCACAUUUGUAAAACAGAAGCUGACAUCACAGCACAAGGUUCUGCACACACCCAGCUACUUACACUGUGUGACAGCACUUGGCUAUGAACACACAGCCAUUCUGGAAACUCUUGGCUGUCACCAAUAAACUCAUUUGAGUUUAUUAUACCUACCUAAGUUGAAAAAAAAUGAAAAAAACAUCCUUGUGACUUGCAGGGAAAUGCCGGAAUAAGUUUGGAAAAAAUCCUUCUGUGUUUUCACCAAAAAAUAAAAAAAUAAAAAGCUCAACAUUAGACUUGCUGCUUCAACAAACUAUUAUUACAUGCUUCACCAGUCCAUUAAAGAAAGUAAUUUAAUCAGUUUGUAUUUUCUCAGGAAAAUCUCAUUCAGAGAAAUUUUAUUGCCAGCUAUCUAAAUAGUAAAUACUUAUUAUCCUCUCAAAAUGAGUUUUUGCUUGCCAAGGGCAAACCCAUCGCUGUUAUUGUAGUGCUCUGUCAGAGAAACAAGAAGUUAAAAAGGUUAUAAAGAUACCAUUAACGUCAUGGGACUGUCUUGUCAGGACUCAGAAGUGCUUAGUAAUUGAGGGCUUUAUUCAAAGUGUAUUAGCACCCAUACAAACGGCACAGCUAAUACGACGCUUUAGGCUUUAUUUUGUUGCAGCCCUGCAUAAUCACCUACAAACAGCUGAAUACUGUAAAUUUAUCUGCUGGAGAGCACGGCUCAUUUUAUCAGCUGUUGGUAGGCUGAGCCUCAGAACAAAACGCCCACGAUGCGAGGGUGGCCAGGAUGGGGACUGGCACUGGGCAUGGGCUGCACUCAGAAUACAAGUCCCACCACUACUGGAAAUAAGCCCAUUUGGUAAGCUUAAUGAGCUUUAAAAACUACAGGCAUGCUGCAGCAGAAACUUGAAGAUAAUACUACAGGGGUUAAGCUCACUGGGACAUGAGCAGCUGACAUCUCUGCAGAACUCCUUUCUCACCCUCUGACAUGGACUCCUGCAAGCUCCAGGUUCCCUUCUGCCUUGUUCUGCUUCCUCAGUGCUUGCUGUCACCCUGCUUGGGAUUGUGGUGGAAAACAAUCAUAAUUUUAACUCAAACACACCCUUGACAAAGAUGGUGAACAGUGGCAGAUGUCAAAGUGCCCCCUCUGCACCCUGUUGGCCACCAGAUGCUGCAGCCCCACUGCAGCCCACCUCAGGCCUGAUCCCUGCCAGCUGCAGGAGUGUGGGGACAGCAGCCCAGCACCUUGGGACAGCCUGCUGCAAACACACAGAGUGGCACAUGGGGAUCCCUCAGGGUCACCUCCAUGGAAGCAGUGCGUUACCCAGGCUGAAAUCCUCCUCACUACAAGGAAAAGCAGCACUUCCCAUCUCCUGCCACACUCUAGCAAGUAAAGCAGCAUCCAAGGCUGCGAGCACCUUGAUAGAGCAUCCCCUCAUGGGUCAGUUCCACCACCUGCCUCUCAGAACUGUUAUCUAAGACACCACCAAGUACUAAGGGUAUUGCCAGAACAGCACAGGCUAUUCUCAGGUUCAUGUCUACAUUUUCUUCAGUAACAGAGGCCUCUAUGUUAUAACCUGAGCAGAUUUCAGACAACCGGUUUUGGAACUUCCAUGACAGAUUCUGACAGCUAAAGGCAAUGGGUAGGCAGGACAAGAAGGGAGAUGGAAAAUGGAAGUACUGCAGGGUUCCCUACACACUGAUUGUGGUUGAAUUUAUGCAUCACAGAAAAUAAUUGGAAUAACACUCACACGUAAUAACGGCACUUCUAUAAUAUAGUUCAGGAUGAACAGCUUAAUAUAUUGCAGGAUGAUGACAGCACAACAUCUCUUUAGGAUUAUUUGACUGUUGGAACCUGGUUAUUGCAACUUCAUUGCUCUGACUUGUUUGGGCUAAAACGUUCCAUGUGUAAGUGUGCUCCAAUUGAUUUUUCUGCAUUUGGUUUGUUGUUCUGCUUUGAGGAGGAGGUAAAUUACUUAGCAUAGCUAUUUCUGAAGAUAGGAGCACAAAAAGAUGCUUUGUCUGUAUAAAACAUGUGGAAGACUCCUCUUUAGUGAGUGCUAAAAGCACAUGGGAUGAAACAAGCAGCAGCUUCUGCACCGAGAACUCCUUUUUUGUUUUGUCCCAGUGCAAUUACCCCUAAGUUUCCUCAAACUGAUAAACUCUGAAGGAGAGAUUACUGCAAACAACUGUGGCUGACCUCCCCCAUAUCUCCUCCCCAAGGAAGCAGAAGCCUGGAGCUGGGCUUGUGAGGGAACCAGAGCAUGAGGAAGGAGCUGCCUGCACCGUGAAAUUCUGCCACAUGCAUCCAAAGCAACUGAUCAGAUGGCUCUGACACAAACAUAGUUAAGAACACCACUUACAGCAAUGAUUUGCAUUUAAUGAGAUCAUUGGACAUACAUUCAGCUACUAUCAGCUCUCACUGCAAGAUAUUACUGCCUCCCUGCUCCACUCCAGCACUGCACAAACACCCAACAACACACCUGGCCCUUCAUUUACCUGCACUGACCAAACUGGGCACCUUCAGCCCAACCCUAAGCACUGCCCUGUGCCCAGCAGCACAGCUCAGGCACAACAGGGUUCAGUUCUAAUACCCGUGCUCUUAUCAGGUGAACACAAAUAACCCUGAUUUCAUAAAGAACAGAAUCCUCCCUCAGGUUCUCUUGCCUUGAGUUGGUAACAGUGGAGUCACGAUUUCAUCCUGCUCAAAGAGGCUAACCAAUAUAACACCAUUAACAUUUCUCAGUGCUCUCCAAGGGCUUCAGAGCUUAAAAUGCUCAAAACCUUUAAGACAAUACCUUGAUUAAAUAAUUUCAGUGGGUAUUUUAACAGCAUAAAGGGAUACACAAUGGCUUAAACAAAGAAGUCAGCCCAGAAAUCUUAAAUAAUAAAUUACACUGUAGCCAUGCAGAACAGAAAUAGAAUAGAACUAAUGGGAAGGCCUGACAUACGCACAUGUAUUUGAUUGUUCAAGUCAGCUGUGAUUCAAAAUAUUUUUUCCUUCUCACUAGGGUAAUCAAUACAAGCAAUACAGCAAAGGGCGCAAGUCUUCCUCCUUGCCAUUUAACAAAGACCCCACUUUGCCCUUUCCCAUGCAUCACAGUGCAAUUCUUCAUUAAGCUUGUGGAAACACAGCCAAAAUAAUUGUCUGCAGAUUUAAUUCAGUAUGAACUUUUCUUGCUUUUGCAUAUUGAUUCGUAUUUGGAAGAGCGUUACAUGAAAGCUUAGCUUUUCUCUUACAAAAGGCAACGGAAACAUGCGUACGUGUGCAGAUGGAUGGGUUACGUGCCAAUACGCCAUUCGAGUGAAGAAUAAACACCAGCUUCACCACCCUUGCCAUUAGGUCGUUGUUAUUUAUUUACUGUCUUUAUUUUUAGGUUUUAGCUGUUCUUAGAAAGCAUCCAAGGCAGUGCUUUAAUUCACUUGCUCUCUCCUUUUCACAAUCUUUGGUUUAGGAUCAAACGAAGAUUGCUGGUGCCUGCUCAGGUCUCUCUAAGCAGCUUAAUACCAGGCAAGCAAUUAGGAGUUUUAAAUGCUACAGGCAAAUAUAGCUCUGGGCAGUCAGGGUAAGUUUAUUCAUCAUAUGUUUGGGUGAUUUUCUUUUGGCUAAACUCUCUAGAUGCACUCUGCAAUAGUUACUAUCCAAAGCUCUCAGAGAAGACCAUGCAGGGCUUUCAGAUUGGAGGUACUGUUUGGGUGUUUUUUCUGAGGAAAAAUACUUAUUUAUCUUUAGAUAAAAUUAUUAACACACAUAAUAUGCUUCCUGAAAUAGUGGGGAGAGUGGUAUUUGAAGCAAAGCCACCCGUUUAUUACAGAAGCUUAUCUUAAAAUCUACUUUUCACGCACAUUCUUGGUCUCAGUAUUGUAAGAAGCCUUUCAAAACAACCAGAGUAGCCACUUUUAAAACAGAUAUUAACAUUUCAUAAACCAAAACUAUGAACAGAAGGAAAUCAGUAAUGCCCAUUUUUUUUUACAGGAAUUCUUACUGGCAGUCUCAGCCAUGAGAAUAUCAGUCACACAGAAGCUCCUAUUAAAAGAUGCUUGGCUUUCUAUAAGGAUGACUGCCCACCACAGCACUAAAAGGGAAAAAACCAUCUUUGAAAAACAUCCAGUACUGUGCUUCAAGAUUUAUUUAGUCAACACCUUAUAAUAAUCUCUAAAUCUAAUGGGACACAAACGCAUUUCAUCACUGAUGAAAAUCUUCAGCGAUUGCUCAAAUGAAAAUCAAAAAAUUAUUACAAUCUAGUAGUUUGGCUUGCAGCACGCAUUAAUCAGAAAUCAUAAUAAAUCCACAUGCUUCUUCAGACAGCACAUUAGUCAAACAGUUUUGUAUGAUAACGACAUUGACUAAUGGGCUCGGAGUUAGAAGGGUCAAUCAUAAACUCAUCAAAUGCUUCAUUUAAUUUCUUAAUUUGGACAAACACAAUUUGUUUAUGGGAAGGAUAUCAGGUGUUCUUGAAUGAAUAAUGGCUAUGAAACCAAACUCCAUUAAUCAGCUCUUGAUUACAAAUGACUCAGAGAUUGUUUGUUCUAAUUUCAUUCAUUUGGGUCAACAAAGAAAACAUGAACAAACGAAAGCACUUGGAAAAAAUGGCACACUUAUUACUCUAUAUUUAAUAAAGCCGUGAUAAAUAUUCUUUCAAUAACUGUAAAACAAGGAUUUUAUUACCCACAUUAAAUACUGUUCUUGGUUCAAGUGAAGGAAUUAAUAUAAAUGAGUUAUAGGAAGAUCAUGGAGGCACGGAAGAAGACCUUCAGGUGCUGGACUGACUGUGCUUCUGAACUGAACACCUCCAACGAAUGGGCAAACGAGCAGAGAGAGCCAAACUGCACCAACUACCUGCGCCUACCAACAUUCACAAAUUCCUGUUGUAUUUUCAGGGCUGUAAGAUCUCUAAACCCCAUUUGUAUUUCUGCAAGCCAUCAUUAUUCCAGAAUGAUUCUGCCUUAUUGUAAUUAGGUCUUAAGUGUCUUCGCUUAAUCAGCAAAAGGCAGCACUCUGGGCAGACCAAGCACUGUACAACCUCUCUUUGGGCACAGCCAAAUGCUCUCCAGAUUUGUUUGAGGAAGGAAACUGAAGGGUGGGAAACACACUGGAAUGUACGGGUGUGUGUACUGGCAUGACCUGAGGACACACAUUCUGGCCAAUGCUUUAAUGACCACAGACCAAAGCAGGCACCUACAGAGAUGCUCGCACAACAGAUAGUUUACCAUGAGAAAUGGAUGUUGUGCUGUCGAUAUUAAGAUGUAACAUUUCCCAAAAGGCAUUUUUAAACAGCAAAUUGCUGCACAACCACAUAUGGUUUCUGCAGCCAAAGCGGCGCAUAAUUAAAUUACCGGGCAAAGUUGCUAAAUAUGAAUUGGUAUAAAACUUAAACUAACUGAAAAAUUGUCUUUGACUUAAGAUCAAUAGCAGGACUGCAAGAUUCAUCUGCACGUAAUUAGCACACAUAUUUGCAUAAAAAUCAUGUAUACCAUAUGCUACAACGUUGUUUCUGAAAACCUAUUAGUUCUAACGUGGGCCUGAGAUACUUCUGUUUCCUGGUAGCACAACAGCUCUCAGAUAAAAAACUAACCAAGAAAUAGAAAUUCUAACAGCUUUAGGUUUAUUUCUCAAGGCACGAAACGUUCACUGGCUAAUAAAGUUACUGUACAUUUACUUCUAGGUUCUGUCUCAAUUUUGAUGUCCGUAUUUACAUACCAAAAGGCAGCAAUACUCCACUGGUCUCCUUUCUAGGGUACAAUUUAGCAGCUACUCCUGGGCUUCUUACACUGGAAAAUACACACAUUGAAAUCUAUGCCACAACCAUGGCUCAAAACAAAGCAUUUUGUUAUCCCUUAUAAGAGUCUGAAAUACGUUCAUAGAGUGAAUGGCUUUUAGACACCAACACAGCAGCAUUACAGCUUGCAGAAGUGAACUACUUCCUUUCAGGUAUAUUUUCUUCUCUACUCAAAUUAGUUUAAUUAAAACAUCGUAUUUUUUCAGCAAUCAUGAAAAAGAAGUUGAAGAUAUUAUCGAUUAAGUAACUGUUUGCUCACCAACGACACAAAACAGCUGCACAUCAAAACCACAUACUCCAUAAGGACAAGACCAUUAAUAUGAUUUAAAAAUAAUUACUUGGAUUAAUGACUCUUAAUUAUAUAGCCGUAGCUUUGCAUGCAGAAAGUAUUUUUUUUUUUUAGUACCCUAAUGAGAUUAUGUAGCUUUGCCAACAAAUUAGGAGCAAGUAAUGUAUGAAUAAAUGUAUUUAAUGUCCAGCUGUGUAAGCACUUAUGCCUGGCUGUAAAGCUCACUGCUGCACACUGACCAGGUGAGUUCAAGAACUGUCUGCAUCCUUGUGCAUCUUUGUUGGAAUUACUUCCAAUUGUCAUCAAACACACAAUAUAAAAAAUAGCUACCACUAUUUUAUUCUAGAUCAUAAAAGAUCCGUUUUCUUAUCAGUGUUUUUUGUUGUCUUUAUUAUUAUUAUUUACUCGCGUAAUGUGUAAUUAUUACAUGCAGUACUGGCUUGAUUCCAAAUGCACACUGUGUUAAAAUACACAACCCAGCUCUUCACAAAUCAGGCUCUCAUGAGGGAAAAUAAGUGUUAAUUUUAUUUCAAACUAUCAACAGCCUUUCAGCUUUUCUGCUGCUUUGAGACUAACACAAGAGCACCGAUGGAACUAGACCUGAAACGUUCUGAUAAAGACUCUGAAAUAAUAAACUGAAAAAAUUAAAUAAUAUCUAUUGGUAGGGGUGAGUGCUACAUGUCUACAUUUCAUAAUGAAUGGCAAUGACCUAAAACAGAGCAACCUACCACCUGGCCACCAAUAGCUAUGGGCAAUGAAAUUCACCCAAGAAUCCCAAUGCGAAGAUCAGGCUGGGAGCAGCCAAGUGGGGCAGGGCCACCUCUGGGUGCUCAGCCCCCCAGCAGUGCCAUUGGCCUUCCACAGAGACAAGCAGGUCGUUGGGACAUGGAGGACUGGGAAACUCACAGCUAGUUGCCCAGGAAGGUCUGAAACUGUCUGAGAGAACCGGCAACGUGAUGGGAAGUUCAGCUGAGAAACAGAACAACGGCAAAAGCCCACACUGACCUACCAGAUUGGCCGGAUGGAUAUUUCUCAGGCUUUUCUUCUCCCCAGCCCUGAGGGCUUUGCACAUUACUAAGCACUAUGGGAAGGAUCACAACCAAGCCAGAAAGACUCCCAGUAAGGAUUCCAAGCUUGUCCAUCAUAAUGAACAUACGAUGAUGCGCUUACUUCCCUUUAAAAGUUCUACUCCAAAGUCUAAUUGCAGUAGAAGUUUCAGUUGGAAACUGCUACCUGCUGACCAAGUAGGAACCAGCAGCUGGCCUAGAAACUGGGUUCACUAAGCAAGUAUUCCAACCAAACCUGAGCCACAGUGUGAAGAGAGGACACGGAGAGGGCACUAAGGCAGGCAUUAAGGAAGAAAAGACAUCAAUGACAAUUUGUAGGGCUAUAAGCAAUUAAUGCCAGUAGCUGAAACCACAGCAGCAAUGGGAACAACAGCUUCUCCUCCGAUUUGUACCUGAGCACACCUUUAAAAAACAGGUCUUCAGCAAAUGAAAUCAACAGCUGUGAUGUACAGAAAUUAUUCAAUGGGACAUUCGUGCUCACGGGAUUGAGAUUUCCAUACAAAUAGAAGUAAAACUCAGUGUUGAUGGACGCAGCUUAAAGCAACUGUUUGAUACUGAUAGAAAUAAGGAGCUGGUAUCAAGUCAGACUGAGCAUAUGCACAUACUACUGUAUUAAUUAAUCUAUUUUUCAAUUUUCAGCAGCUUUUAAAAUCAUAAAAAUUUCUAGUUCUGGAUAAAAGAGUAUUUUAUAAGUUAUAUUUUACCCAUAUCACGGAAACCUGAAGUUUUUAUGUCCUAUUUCACCCUUAGCUUAUAUAAGCCAACACACAU